UGCAAGUCGAACGGACCCUUCGGGGUUAGUGGCGGACGGGUGAGUAACACGUGGGAACGUGCCUUUAGGUUCGGAAUAGCUCCUGGAAACGGGUGGUAAUGCCGAAUGUGCCCUUCGGGGGAAAGAUUUAUCGCCUUUAGAGCGGCCCGCGUCUGAUUAGCUAGUUGGUGAGGUAAUGGCUCACCAAGGCGACGAUCAGUAGCUGGUCUGAGAGGAUGACCAGCCACAUUGGGACUGAGACACGGCCCAAACUCCUACGGGAGGCAGCAGUGGGGAAUCUUGCGCAAUGGGCGAAAGCCUGACGCAGCCAUGCCGCGUGAAUGAUGAAGGUCUUAGGAUUGUAAAAUUCUUUCACCGGGGACGAUAAUGACGGUACCCGGAGAAGAAGCCCCGGCUAACUUCGUGCCAGCAGCCGCGGUAAUACGAAGGGGGCUAGCGUUGCUCGGAAUUACUGGGCGUAAAGGGCGCGUAGGCGGAUCGUUAAGUCAGAGGUGAAAUCCCGGAGCUCAACUUCGGAACUGCCUUUGAUACUGGCGAUCUUGAGUGUGAGAGAGGUAUGUGGAACUCCGAGUGUAGAGGUGAAAUUCGUAGAUAUUCGGAAGAACACCAGUGGCGAAGGCGACAUACUGGCUCAUUACUGACGCUGAGGCGCGAAAGCGUGGGGAGCAAACAGGAUUAGAUACCCUGGUAGUCCACGCCGUAAACGAUGAUUGCUAGUUGUCGGGCUGCAUGCAGUUCGGUGACGCAGCUAACGCAUUAAGCAAUCCGCCUGGGGAGUACGGUCGCAAGAUUAAAACUCA
rnacentral:rRNA from 1 species